rnacentral:rRNA from 1 species
GCCGUAGGGCGCGCGCGUUGUCCGGAUUUAUUGGGCGUAAAGAGCUCGUAGGCGGCUUGUUACGUCGACUGUGAAAACCCGCGGCUCAACCGUGUGGCUUGCAGUCGAUACGGGCAGGCUAGAGUUCGGUAGGGGAGACUGGAAUUCCUGGUGUAGCGGUGAAAUGCGCAGAUAUCAGGAGGAACACCGGUGGCGAAGGCGGGACUCUGGGCCGAUACUGACGCUGAGGAGCGAAAGCGUGGGGAGCAAACAGG